GUCUCACCUCGUUACCCAGGCUGGAGUGCAGUGGUGUGAUCAUAUCUCACUGUACAUCUCCAACUCCUGGGCUCAAGAAAUUCUCCUGCCUUAGCCUCCUGAGUAGGUAGGACUACAGGCAUGUGCCACCACACCCAGUAGCAUCUCUUCCUCAAAGAUGAGCCAGCCGUCAUUUGAAGAGGAGGAAAGACUGGAUUGGGGAAGAAUCUGGGGCAAAAUGAAGCCAAAUUGAGAACGAGGAGGAAAGAAGAUGCUAAGGCCGCAGAUAAGCAGGUCUUGAGUGUUACAGCUCUUUUCGAAUUUGUCUAGCAUGCUUUCUGCUUUUUACUGGAAAGUGCCCCCCCUCCAAAAAAAAAAAAACGAAUAAAUAAAAAAGAAAGAUUUAAAAAAUAAA
rnacentral:lncRNA from 1 species